UCCCUGGUGGCUCAGAGGUUAAAGCGUCUGCCUCCAAUGCAGGAGACCCAGGUUCAGUCCCUAGGUUGGGAA
rfam:TPA: Bos taurus chromosome 1, whole genome shotgun sequence.